rnacentral:lncRNA from 1 species
GGCAAAGAGGUAACGGGGCUUGGAUUUACCACAACUCUGCGGCCACGUUUUCAAAUUUGGAAAAGCACAGAUGAGAAAAGAAGGUUCAGGCGAUUUAUGCGAGAAAGGGCCAAUUUGAACACUGGUAACUAGUGGGAGAAAUAAACUUAUAAGCCACAAACACAUCGGUUCGCAACCGAGCCCACAGCCCCGCGAGGCGCCCCUUCUUCCCAGCUCCCGGAGGAUAACUUCAUUGACUGGCAGGUCGGCGGCCACUUCUGGGAGGGCCACUGUUUACCGAAUGAGAACCUCUCAUGGCACAGUCCUUACAGCAGGGCUGCCCUGUCGCCCUUGCGCGUCCGGGUGCCGGGUCCCGGCGGUGUUCUGCAGCGCGAUCCGGUCCCCGUGCCCUGAGCCACCCAGAGCCCUGGGCCUGCCUGCACCCUGGGGCGCGCUGACUCCCUGGGUCGGGUGGGGGUCCCGGCAGGAUGCACUUCCAGCUGCGGGGUCCGCGGAGUUUGCUCGCACCUGGUUUGGCGCAGGGACGUAGGUUUGGGGGACUGUGUCCCCUGGGAAGAGCAAAAGGUGAAAAGGUCCCCUCUCCCACCAGUGUGCCCCAUCCCCGCCAGUUUUGACUGCGAUCCUAUUUUUCUCUUUGGGGGUCGCCUCAGCCUGUGCCGGAGGGAGUUGGGAGUUGGUCAGGCUUGGGCAGCGGUGGGUGGCAGCCCGGGAGCCGGAGCAGGAGCGCGAGGACCCGCGGACUGGGGCGCAGCGACGAUGGCGCACCGGCUUCUGUCUUCUGCUGCUUUGGGGCUGAGCAUCCGAGGGCGCCUUUCUCCCCAGCUGGACUCGGGGACGCCGGAUCACCCCGCCACCUGCCUCUUGGCCUAAUUCUGGAAGCUUCUCGCCUCCGUUCCUGGACGGCUCUUCCUCAGGGGCAGCAAUGAGCCCCGGGGUGCGCUCAUCUCCUCCGAGAUCAAUUGCUCUACGAUUCCUUUUAGGACUUGCAGGGGGGAGAGGUUGGGGACCCCGGCCCCAGAGUGGCUCCUGCGGCACGGCGGCCCACUCGGAGGGGUCGCAACAAGCGCGCAUUUGUGGCCAAGGUUGUGAUUUCAGGUGCGCUAAUGGGAUCAGACGUCCUGGGAGAAGCGUGAGGGGAUUGGUGCCGUUCCUUCUCCCGGCUUCCAGCGGCCGCCGGGUGGAAGUGGGGACACAGGAGGGCCGCGCUACGGGCGCCCAGCGCGGGCGCUCACACCUCUUGAGGAGGCGUGGAACCCAGCGCCCCAGGUGGGGGUAGGGCGCGGGGGUAUAGGUAGUGAGGGGUGACGCUGGGAGAGGACCGGGAGACGGAGGAAAGGAGACAGCCGGGGACACUACUGAGAGAGGGAGUAAGAGAGUGCGCUGCAGAACCGGGGACAGAGCGGCAGAACCGACCGAGAGCUGGAAUUGGAUUGCGUCCUGUCCCAGCACCAGGACACAGAUAAACAGCCUCCCAGCACUGGUACUCGCCAGAGAAGGGGAAACCCGCGUCCCGCGCUGCUGCUUUCUGCUUCGGAGAACCUUAUCUAGACUUUUGCAUAAUUGCGUGUUGGCUUUCCUAAAUAAUUCGGAAGAGCGAUUUCUGCUUCCACUUGUUCACAUAGGCAAACAAUCCCUGUGGGGAAAAUGUGUGUGUGUGUGUGUGUGUGUGCGCGCGCGCGCGCGCGCGUUCCGGUGACAAUUGAGGCCAGAGGCAAACACAUCCUCUUUCAAAAUGUCCCUUAGGUGAUCCCGUAAAUGACUGUCCUGCUCUAGGCAGUGGGAGUCAUCAUCCACUGGGUAGGGGGCUGUGAUUACUCUGCCUAGGGACCACUUUUCACAGCUCCUUCCCCACCGUAGAUAAGGGUGUUAAAUCAAGGCAUUUAGUUCUACUUUUCCAUUGCACAGAUAAGCAAGCUGAGACCCAGAUAGGUUAAGUGAAGUAUCCAAUUUCUUCUCUCCUUUUCUUUUCUGUAUGCCUCAAGAUGGUUUUAUACACACACACACACACACACAUACAUACACACACACACACACCCUGAACUACGAAAAACAUCACAACUACGGAAGAAACAUUUUUUACUCUUCUUAUUUCCUAAGAAGACCAAAAGUCAGAGCUUGUCUUCUGUCAGAAGCAGAUGGGUGUGUGAUGGCAGUGUGUGAGUGUGCAAGUGUGGGGGGGCUGGGCGUUGGCGCCAUCCUUCCUCCUUCCCUGCUCCAUCCCUGACUCCAUCACCGAGCCCCUUCAGGGAAACACAAGGCAGGAGGUUGUACCGCUAUGCAGAAGACCCCUCCAGGUAGGGAGCUUGAAGAAAUGAAACAGCAGGGAGAACCUGUAUUUGGUGGUGAAAGUGCUGGAAUCUUCUAGGCCUUGCUCAUCUCCAACCAGCUACUUCUCCAAAAUAAAGCAAAACAAAACAAAACAAAACAAGGCAAACAACAACCACCACAGGCCUUUUGCAUCAACUUCCUGUGACUAAGUGACCCUAAGCAGAGAACUGGCUCAGGUCACUUAGGGCAGGGGUAGGACAUUGAAGGCCUUAUUUACUCCAGGAUUAAAAACAGCAUCCCCUCUAACCCUGUCUCUCUUGGGCAGCCUGUCUUUUAAGGAUGUGAAAAGCAGCUUCUUGGAGUCUAAACAGGCACAAUACCCCACUGGGAUGUUUAGGUAUCAGGUUCACAAAAACAGCAUUUUACUCCUGCUUCCCCGAACCCCUUUGCAACCCAGGCUACCAUACUCUUUGCAAGAAUAUCCGGUAUCUUUUCCGGGCAAAAUGAAUUGAGUUGGCACUUCCUGAAAUAUUUUUAUUUUUAGCUUCAAAUAAUUUUGCUCCUAAAACAAAUUAGUUACUUAUCCUCUUCUCACCAUGCCCUAAUUAUUUUUAGCUUUAUUCUAAUUUUUUUUGUUACCUUGAAUUUUGUCUUGAUUUGAGAGUUUGGUAUAGAAUACUUGUUUGCAGACUGGUAAUCUGCAGUUUAUUUUGUUUUUAAAAAACUCUGUGAAGUUUACUGUUGUUUUAAAACUCAUGGAAUAUUAACAAAAAAUAACCUAAUAAUAUUCUUCGAGGCUUAAACUUUGGUUAUAGUCUAUGUCCUAGCCUAGCUUUUAUGAUAAGCCUGUUGCAUUUUAAAGGUGCUUAUUGAUUCACAUGUCUUUCAGUAAAAAAUCUUUUGAGGAACCCAGACUUUUGAAAGCUAUUUAAUUUGCAUGUAUUUGGUCAUUACAGGCUAAAACUGAAGAAUGAGUUUGGAAAUUGGUUCUAUUAGAAAACACUGUUUGCACAUCCAAAUGUUCCCAGUCAAGAUUUCCCAAUAGUGGCAGUGAGAAAGAGAGGCAGAGAGAAUUAGGAUACUUGGGUUCAAAUUUUAGCUUAGUCACUGAUGGGCUGAUUGAGUGAGAAGAACUUAAUCACCUGCAAAAUGAAUUGCUUACAGUAUUUUGAUCUCUAAAUACACUUUUGAUUCUGAUAUUUAAUGAUUUUGUAUUACAAAAUUGGGCAGAAAACGCAUAGCUUCAUAACAAGCAAAAAAUUUUACUGUUAACACAUCAUACUUAUUUUAGAGUAAAUUUGAAGGAGGUUGAUGUUUUGGAAUUUGGUUGGAGAGUUAUCCAAAAGCAAUGUUUCCCUGACUCAACUACAACCAAUUACACACAGUGGCCAGUAGGAAAAGGAUUAAGUUGUCCAGACAAAAUAUAAUGGUAACAAAAAAUAAUCUUGUGCUUUUGACAUCUUUCUGUUUACUUGUUUUUGUCUUGUUCUAAUGCCCCCUGAAUUACUAUUUUCUAAAAAACAGUCUCAUCUAAAAUAAAACAUAGUAAUGUGUUUUCAAAUGAGACAUUUUAUUGUAGUUACGAUUUCUUUUGUAUAUUUUCCUAAUGCAGACUACAAUAAAUACACUAAAAUAUUUCAAAUGGUUUGCUUGUGUAUAUGCUCUUAAGUCGUCUUUAUCCCACUUUGGGAAGCAUAUGCUGUGUUCUGAACAGUUUUAACUUUAUAUAUCAGCAUGACUAAGUCCUUUCAACAACUAUCACGCAAAGACCACGGAGAGCAG